rnacentral:lncRNA from 1 species
ACUGAAAUUACAACAUUUGUUUCUCUAAUAACUAGAUGUGAAUAUUAUAUGUGGGAAGGAAGUAAACAGGAUGAUUUUUUAUCCUGUCGGAAGUGUAUAAAAAGGAUGAGAAUUUAUCACUGUAAAAUUUUUUGAGAGAAAAAAAGAAGGAAAUUAAAUCAUCCUAAUCUUACUCAGAAAUUGUGAAAUAGCACAGAAUGAACACUUACGGAAUGUUUUUGGGAUUCAUUUUGAUAAGUUUGGUGUUAGGAGCAGAGAGAAGGUUACCUUGUUGGACAAGGAAAAGGUGUAACUCCUGUCGAAAAAAAUCCAAAAUAGGUCAAAUGCCAGUUUGCUGUGCAGGAUGCGCAGUGGGAAAAGUAACAGUUCGUGUGACAAAGGCGAAGAGAUUCUGUUGGUGUGUUAUCUGAUGUAAUUUUUAAAACCUUUUGAAAAUAUAAUAAUAUGAACAGA